rnacentral:lncRNA from 1 species
GCUGAUUAAGACAAGGCAUUUUAAAAUAUUUAGUCAGUUUGGGCACUGAAACUGACCUGUCCUUGGGUGUCUGUUUGCAAUUUCUUAACUUUUAGUCUCUUCUAGUUACACUACAUUUAUGAACCAGAGGACAAUGUAAUGCCCAUGUAAUUCUUCACCUAAUCGAAAACGUAAGGGGAGGAUUAAUCAACAGGAAAUCCAUUUAUAAUUGGUUUUUUAAUACCUCUACCAUUUACUGACUAUAAAAUAUAUUCCAGUUAAAUACUUGAUUUUGAAAAGUUAGCAUUAAAAUUGAGUUUAAAUGUGUGUAUACACAUGAUUGCCUUUAAAAUAUUUAAAUUUAUAAGGUGGUUAUUUUCAGAAUACAAAUUCUUGAGUUACUGUCUCCGUAUCCCAUUUCUGAGAUCAGAAAUUGAAUGCCUGAUGUAAUCUUUGGAUUCAAAGUGAAUCCUAGGUUCUUUAAUUUUAAAAAAGAAUCUUUUAAUUUGGUUUUCCCGACAUUCUGCAUUAUUCAUUUCUAAAAGUACAUAAAAGGUUUUUUACUAAAAUCUUGUUGGAUUUAAUAUAUAGUUUUAAUGUUUAAGAUUUGAUAAUUACAAAGAGUUUUUUGUUUUUGUUUAUCUGUAACUAAAAAGACAAAGCCAGUCCCCACAUCUAUUUUUAAAGAAGAAAAUGACUAGUUUAUCCAGAAAAAUCACCUCCAGUUUCACUUUUGAUUAAGAAAAUAAUAGAAUUGAGAUCAUCUCUAGACAAUAGGUGUGAUACUGCUGCCAAAUGAUGUAUGAAAUGCAUGGACUCUUCAAAUUUGGACAGUUGUCAGAUAAAUUGUUUCUUAAUUUUAUUUCAGAAGAUAUGAAAGGGAGCAGAAGAGGCGAACCCCGCAGUGUAGUAAUAUUUUCCUUCCCCAUUCUUUACCUAGUACAGUUGUAUAAUAAUACUUUUAAAUGACUUCUUCUGUGCAUUUUAAUUUUUAUCAAAGACAGACAUUAAAUCUACAAUGCUUAGCUCAGACACUCAGGAAUUGUUUGAAUGAAUGAUACACAUUUAUAUCAUCUUAGCCACUGUAGAAAAAAUCUUUUUUCUUGGCAUGUGGAUCUUAGUGAGUGUGCAAAAUUUGAAACAUUUUUAUAGCUGUUAGGUUCCAAACUAAGUUUUCAUCUUAAAAACUGAGAUUUUUUUUUACCUUAGA